rnacentral:miRNA from 1 species
AGUGGUCCUUUAAGAGUGUUGUGUGUGUGUGUGUGUGUGUGUGUGUGUAUAUAUAUAUAUAUAUACACACACACACACACACACACAUAUAUAUAUUUGGAAGUA